GCUUACGCCAUACCACCCUGAACACGCCCGAAUCUCGUCAGAUCUCGGAAGCUAAGCAGGGUCGCGGCCUGGUUCAGUACUUGGAUGGGAGACCGCCUGGGAAAUACCAGGUGCUGUAAGCA
rnacentral:rRNA from 1 species